CCAUUUAGUGGGGAAUAACUGUUGGAAACGACAGCUAAUACCGCAUAAUAUUGCUGGAUAAUUUCCAGUAAUGAAAGGAGCUUUCAAGCUCCGCUGAUUGAUGAGGAUGCGGCGCAUUAGCUAGUUGGUAGGGUAAUGGCCUACCAAGGCAAUGAUGCGUAGCCGAUCUGAGAGGAUGAACGGCCACAUUGGGACUGAGACACGGCCCAAACUUCUACGGAAGGCAGCAGUAGGGAAUUUUUCACAAUGGGCGAAAGCCUGAUGGAGCAAUGCCGCGUGACUGAUGAAGGUCUUCGGAUUGUAAAGGUCUGUUGUAAGGGAAGAAAUGGUAAAACAGGAAAUGGUUUUAUCUAUGACGGUACCUUACCAGAAAGCCACGGCUAACUAUGUGCCAGCAGCCGCGGUAAUACAUAGGUGGCAAGCGUUAUCCGGAUUUAUUGGGCGUAAAGGGUGCGUAGACGGUUUUGCAAGUCUGANGUUAAAUUUAGGAGCUCAACUCCUAAUCGCCUUGGAAACUACAAGACUAGAGUAUANGAGAGGUUAGUG
rnacentral:rRNA from 1 species